UAGGGAAUAUUAGUAAUGGGCGAAAGCCUGAACUAACAACACCGCGUGUGCGAAGAAGGCCUUCGGGUCGUAAAGCACUUUUUGAGAGGAUGAGGAAGGACGGUACUCUCAGAAUAAGUCUCGGCUAACUACGUGCCAGCAGCCGCGGUAACACGUAGGAGGCAAACGUUAUCCGGAUCUACUGGGCGUAAAGCGCGUGUAGGUGGUACUGUAAGUAGGGCGUGAAAGCUCCUGGCUCAACUGGGAGAGGCCGUUCUAAACUACAGAACUAGAGGAUGGUAGAGGGAGGUGGAAUUCCAGGUGUAGCGGUGGAAUGCGCAGAUAUCUGGAGGAACACCGGUGGCGAAGGCGGCCUCCUGGACCAUUCCUGACACUCAGACGCGAAAGCUAGGGUAGCAAACA
rnacentral:rRNA from 1 species